ACGAACGCUGGCGGCGUGCUUAACACAUGCAAGUCGAGCGGUAAGGCCCUUUCGGGGGUACACGAGCGGCGAACGGGUGAGUAACACGUGGGUGACCUGCCCUCAGCUCUGGGAUAAGCCUGGGAAACCGGGUCUAAUACUGGAUAUGACUCCAUGACGCAUGUUGUGGGGUGGAAAGCCUUGUGCGGCUGAGGAUGGGCCCGCGGCCUAUCAGCUUGUUGGUGGGGUGANGGCCUACCAAGGCGACGACGGGUAGCCGGCCUGAGAGGGCGACCGGCCACACUGGGACUGAGACACGGCCCAGACUCCUACGGGAGGCAGCAGUGGGGAAUCUUGCGCAAUGGGCGAAAGCCUGACGCAGCGACGCCGCGUGAGGGAUGACGGCCU
rnacentral:rRNA from 1 species